rnacentral:rRNA from 1 species
UAAACCUGGGAAGGGCAUGGGAAACGGGCUGACUGGAGUGCGGUAGAGGGUAGUGGAAUUCCCGGUGUAGCAGUGAAAUGCGUAGAGAUCGGGAGGAACAUCCGUGGCGAAGGCGACUACCUGGACCAGCACUGACACUGAGGCACGAAAGCGUGGGGAGCAAACA